rnacentral:rRNA from 1 species
GACGAACGCUGGCGGCGUGCUUAAUACAUGCAAGUCGAACGGAAAGGCCCUGCGUUUGUGGGGUGCUCGAGUGGCGAACGGGUGAGUAACACGUGAGUAACCUGCCCUUGACUUUGGGAUAACUUCAGGAAACUGGGGCUAAUACCGGAUAGGAGCUCCUGCUGCAUGGGGGGGGUUGGAAAGUGUCGGCGGUUGGGGAUGGACUCGCGGCUUAUCAGCUUGUUGGGGGGGUAGGGGCUUACCAAGGCUUUGACGGGGAGCCGGCCUGGGAGGGUGGCCGGCCACAUGGGGACUGCGAUACGGCCCAGUCUCCUACGGGAGGCAGCAGUCGGGAAUAUUGCAGAGUGGGCGGACGCCUGAUGCAGCAACGCCGCGUGCGGGAUGACGGCCUUCGGGUUGUAAACCGCUUUCGACUGUGACGAAGCGUGAGUGACGGUAAUGGGUAAAGAAGCACCGGCUAACUACGUG